UCUAGAAUAUACAGGUUUGGUGUUACAAUAGAUGAAAACUUUUCCAACAUGAUCAGGAAGUUCUUCUCAUAAACAUCACACUCUGUAGGGGUUCUGGGAGAACUCACUAAUCCAUAUAGACUUGGGAUCGCCGCACGGCCCCAUGUCUGUGCACGCCUUCCUCAUCUGCCCACGCAGACGACCGUCUCCACCAAGACUCUCCACCAGUGCCUCCCUCGGUGCUAGACGCCCACCUCCUGGGACCUCCCCGCCUCUCUCCAGUCCCUCAACUAAGGUGGUGCAAAGAGCUUCAUGUGGCUGAACAAGCCAAGUGAGAACACACAAGCUACACACACUCCUCAGACGUGCACCGGUCACCACGGAGGCUCUGAGUGUCACAAGCCACACCCAUCCACAUCGCUGUCACUGUUUUCCAUCCCAGAGAAGCCUCCUUAACGGCCUCUCGAUGGCUCACCCACUGCAGCCCUCCUAUCCCCGUCUCGGAUGUUCAGGUAGCCACUGGAAUAUUUUACCUGUUUGGCUUGAGGGAGGAAAACCAAGGAGAAGAGUCCCAAGGAUUCGCCGAGGUGCCUUGGAGAGACCACCCGGACACUCCUGGAACUUUUCUCCCUCCCCUGAACUCAAUGCACCGCUGAUGUCACUGACUUGCAUCGUUUUCUAGAACAUGUGCAGGGUCUUCCCUCUUGGGAUAACUCCAAGAAGGCCAAUGAGUUAUGGAGAACCAAGGGUCAGUUCCAAUCAUUGUGGUCAGUGGAAAGCCCAAGCCUUGGGCCACAGCACUCCCUUGCUCUGUGGCUGAGGCCCUUGGGCCCUGCAGGGUGGGGUCUGAAGGUCAGUGUGCUCAGGGGCAGGUGCUCACUGCCUCUGCUCCCCCCACAGUGGCUUUUCUGAGGAAGCUUCUGGACUUGAUUCUAACAUGCUAGGAGCCUAUGGCACUGGCCAGGGAGGCUGGAGACAGAGUGCUUCACACCAGACCACCAGGAGACAGAGAGCUGGAAGGUCCACACUGCUCGACCCAGGCCCACUGCACCGCCAGCCUCUCCCACCUCCCGUUUCUAACCAGUGCUAUUCUCUCUAACUCCAGCCUGCCCCGAGGUCCUGCUCUGGGGCCAGGGUAGCUGCAAGUUGGGGCAGGCUUGGCCCUGAAACACCCAACAUGUGGUUAUGGAAGGACAGCAGCCCAGCAGCGGGGAUGGGAGACCAAAGCCCAGAGAAGACAAGUGACCACUGAGGUGAUGGGGAUGCUGCCUCCAGAGUCCGACCACUGCUGUCCUCACGGGAUCUGCCCCCACUGCCACGUCAUGGGUUAGAGCCACUGUGCAGAGACCCCAUGAAGGGACUGGACCCCAAUCAAGGUGUUCCCUGACACAGGGUUUGUGGUGAGGAGAGAAGUUGAUUUUUGCAACAUUGUUUCUGGUGAUAUCCAAAAUCUAAACUGUGUAUCUGGUUUGUGUUCAUGAACUGACCAGUCCAGCACCCCUCUCGCCUUUACUCUGCCAAGGAACUACCUGGCCCAGUGUAAGACCUGGUAGUAAUUUUCUAGUAUUUUAUGUUCAUAAAAGAGAAAGAAAUGAAUAGACUCCUGCAAUAACUUGGGCCUUGAAUGGUAUGGACAAAGCCUACCAGGAACUCGACUAUCUUGACCACAUAAAGGCCAGAACGUGGCUUAGUCCCGGGCUCUGGUCCAGCUGCGUCUUUGUCCUGCUGCCGGAAGCCUGUCGGGAAGGAGGGCAACAGGACGCUCCCCUCUGCCCCAGCUGUCAUCCAGAAUUUAAAAGUUCUCUGCAGGGACACAGCACAGAGAAAGAAGGGAACCGAGGAAGAGGACAGCAGCGUGCUUACAAAGGGAACCCGUGGGCCAUGCAUCUGCAGAUGCCCAGAGGGGCGGCGACGUCCCUGGACACCCUACUUGCUCACCACAGCUCGUGUCGCGUAUUCGUCAAAAGCCAUCCUGCUACUUCCACAGUCAGGAUACGCGUCACCCAGGAGUGCCAUGAGGGGACAGGGACUGCACCUCUGCCCUCCGUGGCGUGCACCACCCAGCCCGUAGGACCUGGACCUGCUGCUGCUGCUGCUGUGUUCAAAGAGUGGUCUUUUUGGUGCUGGGGAUCUAGCCUAGGGCUGCGCGUGUGCUGAGCUCUGCACCCUGGGCGAUGCAUGUCCCUGCUGUUCAGGUCAACACGUGGACCUGACCACAGGAGGGUAAGGCUGAAGGUGGCUGAGGGAGGUGGACAGUGCCCUCUGUGAACGAGGACAGCCACCUGCCGCCCCCUGGGAACGCCGGCCUCAGCCUCCUGCCCGGGUCUCUUCCUGUGCUGCUCUGUGCCGCUCUGGUCUGUUCCUCCUUCCUCUUUACCAGACUUCUCCUCUUUCCUUUGCGUUGCUUUGUUUUCCUCCACCCUAGUUUGUUUCUUCUCAAAUCCCCACACUGUGAAGCCAAAUUACACUUUAAUUGCAGUCUUUUACAGGUGAA